GCAGCUAACUUUAAGUUGAUAAUUUUGUAUGGCCCUUGAAUGAUGUUAUACAUAUCCAAAUGGCUUGGCAGAGAAAAGGACCCCCACCCCUGCUCUAAGGGCAAAG